CACACUGACACAUACAGAUACACACACUGACACAUACACACACACACACACAGACACACGGAUACAUACUGACACAUACAGAUACACACACAUGGACACACACACACAGAUACACACACUGACACACAGAUACACACACUGACACAUACAGAUACACACACUGGGACACACACACAAUGACACACAUAUACACACACUAACACAUACAGAUACACACACUGACA